AGCAUAGAUUAACACUUUAAUAAAUUGUAGGCACCAUCGCUAACUUCAGCUAUGACUAAUCACUCAGUGAAGUGUGGUGACAAACUACACAGCAUGUGUUGCUCUACUUUACCAGUGUGUGGCACUCUUGCUGGGCACUAUGUGUUUUUGAGAAAUGAAGCAGUUGAGAGCAAGGAUGCAUAGUGUAAGACACAUUGAGAAUAGACAUAUGGCUCUCAACUGCAAGACAUGGC